UGUACGAACAGCGGGGAGAACCAACUUGGUUGUGCGGAUCACUAACCGCCAAAGUCGUACAGGCUACAAAGAGUGUCAGUGCUAUAUGGCAUCGCCAAAGCGUGCAGUAGCUCUGGGCAAACAAAACAGUGAAUAACAGCCUUGGUGAUAGCACACCGGGGCUAUUAU
rnacentral:ncRNA from 12 species